ensembl:snoRNA
GCUGGUGUAAGUGAUGACUCCACUUUUUUCCCCAUCAGAUCGACAAUGGCGAUUUUCCAGAAUAUUUGCCAGUUACUCCUGAUACACCAGC